rnacentral:rRNA from 1 species
GCCUAAAGCGUCCGUAGCCUGUUCUAUAAGUUUCCGGUUAAAUCCAUUAGCUCAACUAAUGGGCUGCCGAAAAUACUGUAGAACUAGGGAGUGGGAGAGGUAGACGGUAUUCGGUAGGAAGGGGUAAAAUCCUUUGACCUAUUGAGGACCACCUGUGGCGAAGGCGGUCUACCAGAACACGUUCGACGGUGAGGGAUGAAAGCUGGGGGAGCAAACCGGAUUAGAUACCCGGGUAGUCCCAGCCGUAAACGAUGCAGACUCGGUGAUGCGCUGGCUUGUGGCCAGUGCAGUGCCGCAGGGAAGCCGUUAAGUUUGCCGCCUGGGAAGUACGUACGCAAGUAUGAAACUUAAAGGAAUUGGCGGGGGAGCACCACAAGGGGUGAAGCCUGCGGUUCAAUUGGAGUCAACGCCAGAAAUCUUACCCGAAGAGACAGCAGAAUGAAGGUCAAGCUGGAGACUUUACCAGACAAGCUGAGAAGUGGUGCAUGGCCGUCGCCAGCUCGUGCCGUGAGAUGUCCUGUUAAGUCAGGUAACGAGCGAGAUCCCUGCCUCUAGUUGCCACCAUUACUCUCAGGAGUAGUGGGGCGAAUUAGCGGGACCGCCGCAGUUAAUGCGGAGGAAGGAAGGGGCCACGGCAGGUCAGUAUGCCCCGAA